rnacentral:lncRNA from 1 species
AUUUAUUCAGUUCUCCUCCGGAUUUUGUUCCAUACCCACUCUGCUCUCCCCGUUCGUUGCCUUGCCUUGCCUUGUUCGGCGUUAAGGAACAAACAGCCCAUCCACCAGUCUGCUGGGUUUCUCCACAUUCUCACCCUGGAACAUGAGAGACGGCGAUCCAGUGACUGGAGCUACGUUUAGAUAUGUGAAUCAGAUCUCCCUCCAUAAAUCUCGUUCUCCGUUUUUAGGCACCGCACUCAACAGUCCAGUCCCCUUGAGCGGUGUGAUUCACAUGGAGGGCCCCGCAGCAGCCCUCCUUCCUGCGCUCUCCCUGAGUUUCCUUCCACCCUUUGUCGAAACCCUCCCUCCCCACUUUGCUUUGUUCUCAUCCCGUCUUUUUCCCACCUCUCCCGUCCGUCAUCUUAACCCCCAGACUAUAUGUAUAUUUUGUCCUAAUUUCAUACAAAGACCAUAGAAUGAUUUUAUGUGAAGUUGAGUCAAAAGAAAAAAUAAAAAUAACAAUAACAAUAGAUGAAAAAAAUCAUCAUGGAUAUGAUCAAACCAAUCAAAAUGCACAUUUUGGAUUGGUGUCAUUUCUUUCAUGAGAAAAAAAUAUCCUUAGAAACUACAAUGUUGGAAUCCAUAUGUGUCCUAUUCUGGCUACCAUUAAUUAAACUGAGUCUUCUUCUUCUUCUUCUUCUUCUUCAUUUUUCUGAUGAGAUUCACACAGAAUAUUCAUUUCUUCAUUCAUGUUCAUGAAAAUGUAUUUAGGCAAUUUCACAAACUAAGAAUUCAAUAAUAUUACUAACUUGAAAGUAUAAACCACUACUUAGAUGUUAGAGUUUUAAAUCAUAUACUACACACACACCUAGAGAGAGAGAGAGAGAGAGAGAGAGAGCACAUACCAUCCUGCAGUAGAUUAAAAAACCAGGAAUGCUAUCAUGUCAAAUGCACAAUAAAACAAAAACCUAAAAGAGAACAAAUGUAACUGGGGACCCACUUCCACUUGGUGAUCAGGAGCAUUGGCAAAGAAAGAGAGGCAAGAAGAAGAAGAAAGGAAUCUAGUCAGUCAUACAUGGAGUUGGAAGCAGCAGCAGCAGCAGCAUAAAAGGGGAGCAGGCAAUUCUUCUGUAAGCCAUGCCAUGCACACAGUGCCAAUGCCUCAUUCAGCCAGGCUUUGUUCCAACCAAGCCAAGCAAACAAGGAAAGAAAGAUGGAUCCACCAUGGAGGAAAGGAAAGGAAAGGAGGGUGCACCACCAUGUCCCACCCCAAAAGUGCCGCUAACCUUCCGCAGUGCCUUCAUUCAGUGAGGAGGACUGACUAAGUGGAUGGGUGCAGGACCAUUGUGGAGGUACCUUGAGCCAAACUGGGGGCAAAUCUCACUCACAUGUGUGUGUGUGAGUGAGUGACCAUGAGGAGGAGGAGGAAAUAGAGGAAGCAAAGGAAGCAGGGCAGCACCAUUGAAGACAGACAGACAGAAAUAUAGACAGAGAGGCCACCGAUUAUUAUAUUUUGUUGAGGAUCAUUCAUACCCACAUUGUUUGUUGGGUGGUGGGGGUGGGUGGGUCCCUCCCUUGCCACCACCCCCUUUUUGUGCAGUGAGAAUGAGAGAAAAGCCAAAGUGCAUGAAGGAGCUUUGCUGCUUGCUUGCUUGCUUGCAUACUUGCCUUGCUGUGCCCCAAUCCACAUGGUACAGUAUGCUUGCUCACACUCCCAAGUGGGUUUGGGUGCCCAUGCACCAAUGUCACCAUGCAAACUCUCUUAGACCAGAUGCCAGUUCCUCUCUUUGUGCAUGUCUCUCUGUAUGUGUGAGUGUGUGUAGGAGAAUAUAUAUAUAUAUAUAUAUAUACAUACAUAGAGAGAGAGAGAGAGAGAUUUGUUUGUCACAGCAGUUUGUUCCCAGGACAUUGAUUGCUUACCAUAAAGGAGUUUAAAAUACAUGAAACAAUGUGUUGCAUUGGUACAAAUAUGGGAGAAAUUGCUGAGACAACCUUGAGCAAUGUCUGGAUGAUGCAUCAAGGUUGUUGUGAGUUCUGUACGAGUGUUAGAGUGCUUUCAAAGAUUAUGGGGAUUUAAAUAACGUGGAUAAGUGUGCAUCCACAUGCCUAGUUUACAGUUUGGUACAUAGAGGUUACAAGUAGUUGUCAAUGUACUUUGUAGAGGCCCCAAAAUUUCAUUUAUGUAUGUAUGUAUGUAUGUAUAUGUACACAUAUGUCUGUACCAGUCCCACACAAGCAUCAAAUAACCAAAAUUACUAAUACUAUAUUGAAGUUUACGUUUUUAUAAGA